GUACUGAUGAAGAGUCCCAAACCAGGACGAAACAGCUGUUCAGUAC
rnacentral:hammerhead_ribozyme from 1 species